ACCUAGCCGCGAUGGGAACGGCAUCCUUUUUUCCCGCGACAGCGGGAAAAAAGAUAUAGUGGACAGCGGGAAUGAUU
rnacentral:sRNA from 1 species